CAAUUUUCACUUAUUUUUUUUCUCUCAAAAGAAUCUCAAUUUGCCUCAACAGUCUCAACAAAUCUGAAGAGCAAUUCACAUAGUUGUUAAGUGUUUCAACUGGUUAGGUGUUUCAAAGAAUUUCAAAAAGGAUACAAGGAAUCAGUACAUACAAACACAAACAGGAUAAACAAAAUAGUUUUUUCACGCAACUGGAACCAAGUAAAGAAAAAGAUCAACCCUCAUCUUCACAAAAACCCACUCAAUCGUCCUCAAAUUUAG